UACGACACCUCCAUAGUCCAUAGAUCGCAUCUUCCUUCUUUUCUCCGCCUCUACGCACUGCAGCUCGCACCUCGCCAGUCGCCUCGACCCCGGCGUGUACGCGAUGCUACGUGCAUGUCGUCGGUAGCCUCGACCCGGUGCGCCCGCACUGCCUCCAGCAUAUCACCGGUGGCCUGGACCCCGGCGCGUCCGGGCUGCCGCCUCCACGUCGCCGGUCGCCUCGACCCCGGCGCUAACCACCCUGCCGCCUGCACAUCGCUGGUUAGCCUCGACCCCGGUGCACCCGCGCUGCUGCCUGCACAUCACCGAUCGCCAACGCAACUCCGCUGCUGCUUGGGUAUCGCAAUGAGUCAGCACAGGUAUGGAAACUUGACAACAUUAGCUCGGGAAAGAUGCCACUCACAGUUGAAUAAGUCUGGACUGGUAGACCAAGGUAUUGCUAGGCGGACCAUGCCAGAGAAAUCAAGUCAAAUAGCAGAUUUCAGCAGGAAAAGGGUUUCUCACAGGCCUGAUUUGCAAGAUGAGGAACUGUGGAAAAAGUACGAGUUAGCUGCAAAAGAUGGAAAUGAUGCGGCAACUAAUACACCAAUCUUGUUUACUGCAAAUUGGGAUGCGGAUGACUCCGGAACUAUGAAUGAUGAAGUUGAUGCCAGCAACGAUGGUGACAUGGGAAUGGUCCAAUAUUACUGACGCAGCUCCGAAACAUAUAUUUGAUGCAAUUAAGAUGUGUACAAAGAUGAGAUAUUAGACCAUGUCAAGAAACUUUGAAUCAACUGGCGUGGAGACUUGCACCGGCAUUUUGUGAAACCCAACAAGACUAUGCAGGAGGCUAUGAAAAAGUUGACAAUAUGGUGCAAGAAGUAUCAGAAAUUAAGCGUCUUCUGUCUGGUAGAUCUCUAACUGAUAGUUCUCAUGAGGACUGAUGAUCCACCAGAACAUACAUAAGCAUAAGGAGGCAUUUUAAUCGCUGGUGAAGAAUGAUAUCCAUUCAAAUAAGGAUGGUGUUCCUCUAUUGAAGACUAAUAAAUAAUAUCGUUUUUAGUUGUCUCGUUUUCCACAUAGAUAUGAUCAAGUACAUUCGUGAUAUAAGGAGUGCUUUUCACUCAAAUUUCUUACAAGAUAUUUAAAUUUCAGAAUUGUAU